ACACAUGCAAGUCGAGCGAAGCGCUUACAUGGAUUUCUUCGGAUUGAAGUUUUUGUGACUGAGUGGCGGACGGGUGAGUCACGCGUGGGUAACCUGCCUCAUACAGGGGGAUAACAGUUAGAAAUGACUGCUAAUACCGCAUAAGCGCACAGUGCUGCAUGGCACAGUGUGAAAAACUCCGGUGGUAUGAGAUGGACCCGCGUCUGAUUAGCUAGUUGGUGGGGUAACGGCCUACCAAGGCGACGAUCAGUAGCCGGCCUGAGAGGGUGAACGGCCACAUUGGGACUGAGACACGGCCCAAACUCCUACGGGAGGCAGCAGUGGGGAAUAUUGCACAAUGGGGGAAACCCUGAUGCAGCGACGCCGCGUGAGCGAAGAAGUAUUUCGGUAUGUAAAGCUCUAUCAGCAGGGAAGAAAAUGACGGUACCUGACUAAGAAGCACCGGCUAAAUACGUGCCAGCAGCCGCGGUAAUACGUAUGGUGCAAGCGUUAUCCGGAUUUACUGGGUGUAAAGGGAGCGUAGACGGUUGUGUAAGUCUGAUGUGAAAGCCCGGGGCUCAACCCCGGGACUGCAUUGGAAACUAUGUAACUAGAGUGUCGGAGAGGUAAGCGGAAUUCCUAGUGUAGCGGUGAAAUGCGUAGAUAUUAGGCGGAACACCAGUGGCGAAGGCGGCUUACUGGACGAUCACUGACGUUGAG
rnacentral:rRNA from 1 species